UAGGUUCAGUCGGUCCUGACUAAGCACCUCUUCCCGUCGUGCCUUUCGCUAUAAAUUUCACACUUAGCGGAAUAAACUGAGAAGCGGCGAUAUCGUAGCGUAGUUUGAGGGCUUCGCGCCCCUCUCAGAUAGCGUCCAAUGGAUUCUACUGACAGGCCUGGGGAAAGGGGGCAAGCAAACAGUUCAUAAGAAGCCUCAGAAAAGAAGACCUUAGUAGUAUUAUAUUUUAUUGUGCCCUCGCUUACUAAGUGCUGUAUCGUUCCGUGAUUGUUUGUUUCGCUUCUAUGGGCUUCUAUGUUUUAGCAUGCUGAUUUGUCGUUCGUAAUUCUUUAUAUUUUUCGGGGCUUAUGACUCGCAUAAGCCCUGGUUUUUCUGUAAGCCUUUCGCCUUGCCAUUUUUCCUGUAGUUAUUGUAUGUAGUCCAGUUGUAAUUAUGGCAAACAAAUAAAUUGAAUCCAGUGCAAUAAA